rnacentral:misc_RNA from 1 species
AGAAAAUCCCGCCCCAAUUCCCUAUUUCCGAACAUGUUUAUGGGAACGGUAGAACCUUAUCCCGACCCGCCUGUUUCCAUUCGCUUCCGGAGCGUUGCUCCUCCAACCUUCAAAAACCCGAUUUUCCUUAAAACCACCAAAACUUUGAGCCAAAUCUAACGCUCCAUAUGCUAUACACGUCAUAUGCUACAACCAGCACAUCGCCCCAUCCCAGGAGACCUUAUCCUGCGCACGCUCAUUAUUGACACUCACACACACUUCUCUUUCAUCUGUCUCCGUUAUGGCCGCCGAGUUGCAUCCGCCGGAAGGUCCCAUCACCACUAUCUCCACCAAUGUUGUCACAGCAACUACAGCGGUUAUAGCACCUGCGGAACCCGAGAACGCCAGCCCACCACCGCAGGUCCCGAAACGGCAACGCCGACCCAGCGUACGUCUUGGUGAGAUCGGAGACCAAUCGACUGCUUUCUCCUAUGACUUGCACGUUCGCCGCCCCAAGCACCCCUGGCGUCUCCCUAAAGACUCAUCUAAAUCCGUCAAGGCCCGGUCUUUAACCAACCU